GCCAGGUGCAGUAGUAUUUGCCUAUAGUCCCAGCUACUUGGGAGGUCAAGGCAGGAAGAUGGCUUGAGUUCUGGACUGUAGCGUGCUCUGCCUGUUGGGUGUCUACACUAAGUUUAGCAUCAAUAGUGUGACUUCCUGGGAUUAGGGGACUACCAGGUUGCCUAAGGAGGAGUGAACUGGCCCAGGAUAGAAAUGGAGGAUGUCAAAACUCCCGUGCAGAUCAGUAGUGAGUUCGUACCUGUGAAUAGCCACUGCACUCCAGCCUAAGCAAUGUUCUAUCUCU
rnacentral:SRP_RNA from 1 species